GAUAGAUCAAGAAAUUCAACAUUUAUUUAGCAAGUGCAAAGUCCAGGCAAGAAAUAUUUUAUGAUUUUUGUCCUAUGAACUAAGAUUCUAACACUUGUACAGAAACUAACACCUAAAAAGUUCUAAGACUGGCUUCUUGAAAACAAAAAUCAAUUUCGAUGUCAUAGUGCUUCAAAACAUCACAAGUUGGUAAGCAAUAACAAGAGGGUUAAUAGUUUUAUUUAAUUAUGCUGUUUAUAAACAUAACAGGAAUUUAAAUCCAAGGAUAAAUAUGUACUAUUCAUUUCUUAAUGCAUAAGAACCAACACUCUGGUAACCAAAAUAGAUGAGGUCCCUGUAAUAAAUACUCACAUAUAACAUGAACUUUUCCUUCCUGAAAGUUAUACAAUUUUUUAAAAUUUUGCUUUUAUUUAUUUGAUUGCCUGUAUUUUCUAAUGACCUAUAGGAUUCAUAAUGUUUUUUGCUCCAAGAGGCCAUAGUAGACAAUAAAUGCUUGUUCACUGGAUAAAUGAUUUACAUCUCAUUAUUGUCUUAAAUUUAGCAUUCCAUUGUGCGAACCUCACUUUCAAAAGAAUGAACAGCUUGACGGGGAGGGUACUGGGUAAAGUUUAGGAUCAAUGGAAGAUUUAUUCUUCUAUUAUAACACAUUACAUAAACUUUGUGUUUUGAUACUUUAUGGCUUUUAGUGAUAAAUGAAUGCACUGAGACACACCAAGCUUCAUGAACCAAUCUUUUAUGCUUCCAUUCUUUUCUAUUACAUCAGAAUAAUAUGUCCUUGAGAAACAUUUAUAACCAUACACUACAUACAUGUUUGUCUGUAAUGAAGCAAGAUAUAGAAUUAAAAUCUAAAGAGCAUUAAAAAGGGUUAAGUUGAAUUGCUAGGUAUGUGGGAUUGUGUAGCAUGCCAAAAUUCACUUAGGAUAUUUUCAUUCUAAUUUAGGUCACCCUGGGAACGGGGGGUAGGGAAAUGGGCUCUACUGAAUUGAGAUCAUGCUUAUUAGCUACAUGAUUUUGAGCAAGUUACAUACAUAACCUCUUAGCAUUAGUUUCCUUACCUAUAAAUGGGGGGAAAUAACACCUAACAUCAACCUUAUGGGGCAGUCUAAGGAAUAAAUGACAUAAGGAUAAAAUAUAUGAAAAGCUUAGCAGAGUGACUAGACUAUUAGAAAUAUUCAAUAUAUGAUAGCUAUAAAAACAAUCUUAUGUAAUAAACUAAUUAGGUGGAAUAAUUACCACAUCAAUCUAGAUGCUAUGUAAUCAAAAUACUCCGGUACAACAGAAUGCAUUUUAUCAGGUUACUAAAAGAUUUGUUGCCCGGGUAUACUUUUUCUAGUAUAUACUGUUUGGGUGUCUAUUCUUUCACAGUCAGAUCACAUUUCUAAAUCAGAAGGGAUCAGCUACUUAAGAAAUACUGAGGCCUAGAUUUAGCCACAGAGUUUGAAUUCAGCAUUUCUUCUCUCUGGCAUUAACAGCAUUUGCUUUUACUUUUACAUGUUAAAGAAUAUCUUAAUAUAUAGGCAGAAAAAACUGGCCAAUAUGAGGGCAAGGAAAGAAUGCUCUAGUCCAAAAAAUCAUUGUCUACAUCAGCAAAUUUUAAAUUCCCAUCAUUAAUAAUACUUUUAAUAGGCCUCUUCAAAAGGAGACUUACUAUUUAUUUUUCUUUUUUAUUAUGGGAAAAUUCAAAACUAAACAAGAGUAGACAGGAGAGUAUAAUGAUCCUCAUGUACUUAUCACCUGGCUUUGAUGGCUAUCAACUCAUGGCCAAUCUCCUUUUUUUUUUUUUUUUUUUUUUUUUUUAGUUUAUUCCUGAAAGACACACCAAGAGAGAUAGGCAGAGACAUAGGCAAAGGGAGAAGCAGGCUCCAUGCAGGGAGCCCGAUGUAGGACUUGAUCCGGGGUCUCCAGGAUCACGCCCUGAGCCAAAGGCAGAUGCUCAACUGCUGAACCACACAGACAUCCCAACUCAUGGCCAAUCUCAAUCCAUCUAUACUCCUACUUCCCUCUCCCACAUAAUUUGAAGCAAAUCCCAGGCAUAUUAUUUCACCUGUAAAUAUUUCAGUAUAUAUUUAUAAAACAUAAGGACUUUUUGACACAACACAAUUACAACAUCAUCAUCAUAACUGGGUAAAUGGGGGCAUCUGGGUGGCUCGGUGGUUGAGCAUCUACCUUUGGCUUAGGGCGUGAUACCAGCGUCCUGGGAUCGAGUCCCACACUGGGCUCCCCGCAGGGAGCCUAUUCUCCCUCUGCCUAUGUCUCUGCUUCUCUCUCUGUGUCGCUCAUGAAUAAAUAAAUAAAACCUUAAAAAAAAAUAACUGGGUAAAUGGCGAUCAGAAACCGGAGAUAUCUGGGAAGAGAAGUAAAGAAAGAACAAACUCAGAUGCUUACAGGUAACACUUUGCUAUGUUUAUCCUCAUUGGGCAUAUACAUUUCUUUUUGGAAGCCCAUCUUAUGGCUUCAAAUACUUUUUUUAAAGAUUGUAUUUAUCGGGCAGAGAGCCCGGUGUGGGACCCGAUCCUGGGGCU
rnacentral:lncRNA from 1 species